rnacentral:rRNA from 1 species
UACGUAGGGCGCAAGCGUUAUCCGGAAUUAUUGGGCGUAAAGAGCUCGUAGGCGGUUUGUCGCGUCUGCCGUGAAAGUCCGGGGCUCAACUCCGGAUCUGCGGUGGGUACGGGCAGACUAGAGUGAUGUAGGGGACACUGGAAUUCCUGGUGUAGCGGUGAAAUGCGCAGAUAUCAGGAGGAACACCGAUGGCGAAGGCAGGUCUCUGGGCAUUAACUGACGCUGAGGAGCGAAAGCAUGGGGAGCGAACAGG